GAUGAACGCUGGCGGCGUGCCUAAUACAUGCAAGUCGAGCGAACAGAUAAGGAGCUUGCUCCUUUGACGUUAGCGGCGGACGGGUGAGUAACACGUGGAUAACCUACCUAUAAGACUGUGAUAACUUCGGGAAACCGGAGCUAAUACCGGAUAACAUAUUGAACCGCAUGGUUCAAUAGUGAAAGGCGGCUUUGCUGUCACUUAUAGAUGGAUCCGCGCCGUAUGAGCUAGUUGGUAAGGUAACGGCUUACCAAGGCAACGAUACGUAGCCGACCUGAGAGGGUGAUCGGCCACACUGGAACUGAGACACGGUCCAGACUCCUACGGGAGGCAGCAGUAGGGAAUCUUCCGCAAUGGGCGAAAGCCUGACGGAGCAACGCCGCGUGUGUGAUGAAGGUCUUCGGAUCGUAAAACUCUGUUAUCAGGGAAGAACAAAUGUGUAAGUAACUGUGCACAUCUUGACGGUACCUGAUCAGAAAGCCACGGCUAACUACGUGCCAGCCGCCGCGGUAA
rnacentral:rRNA from 1 species